AUGCUCACAGACUUGCUUCUCGAGGUGCACCUACUCCUUGAGAUUCCGGAUCGCAUAAUCUGGAAGUGGACGCCGACUGAGGUAUAUUCUGCGAGCUCAGCUUACUAGGUGUUCUUUGCUGGCCUCGAGAGGUUCCCAAGCGGUCGGGCCCUUUGGAAGACUUGGGCCCCGACCAAGUGCAAGCUUCACUUCUGGCUAGCGAUGAGGCGUCAGAUUUGGACGGCAGACAGACGCCUUCGACAGGGCCUCCAGUUCCAUGUCAUGUGCCCAUUAUGCGAGCAGGAGGCUGAGACUGCAGACCACCUAGCACUGGGUUGUGUGUUUUCCAGGGAGGUGUGGCACUCUACCCUCGCAUGGUGCGACCUCGGCCAAUUGGUGCCCACCAUGGAUGCAACUCUCAUAGAGUGGUGGCCAGCCAGUCGUGCGAUGAUCCCGAAGGAGCGGAGGAAGGGUUUUGAUUCCCUUGCCCUCCUCAUCAUCUGGAUGCUAUGGAAGGAGCGUAAUAGUUGUGUCUGUGGCGUCCUGGGACUGGGGGUCCCCAGACUUGCCUGCCUGCGGCCCGCGGCGUGGCUGAGCCAGCAGGCCGUACGACCCAUCUUCAUCAACAAGGCAUCCAAGACCCUCGUGAGGGUCCAAGCCUCGCGAGGCGGACGAGCGGCCUAG
rnacentral:rRNA from 1 species